rnacentral:rRNA from 1 species
UUUUGGACAAUGGGGGAAACCCUGAUCCAGCCAUCCCGCGUGUGCGAUGAAGGCCUUCGGGUUGUAAAGCACUUUUGGCAGGAAAGAAAUCGCAUAGGUUAAUAACCUGUGUGGAUGACGGUACCUGCAGAAUAAGCACCGGCUAACUACGUGCCAGCAGCCGCGGUAAUACGUAGGGUGCAAGCGUUAAUCGGAAUUACUGGGCGUAAAGCGUGCGCAGGCGGUUCGGAAAGAAAGAUGUAAAUCCCAGGGCUUAACCUUGAACUGCAUUUUUACUCCCAGCAGAGAUGUCAAGGGGGGUGAAUUCCGCGUGAGCAGUAAAUGCGAGUUGCGGGGAACACCAUGCAAGGAGCCCCCUGGGAAUCUGCGUAUGCAG